rnacentral:rRNA from 1 species
CGGACGGGUGAGUAACGCGUGGGUAACCUGCCUUGCACUGGGGGAUAACACUUAGAAAUAGGUGCUAAUACCGCAUAAGCGCACGGUCCUGCAUGGGACAGUGUGAAAAACUCCGGUGGUGCAAGAUGGACCCGCGUCUGAUUAGCUGGUUGGCGGGGUAAAGGCCCACCAAGGCGACGAUCAGUAGCCGGCCUGAGAGGGCGGACGACCACAUUGGGACUGAGACACGGCCCAGACUCCUACGGGAGGCAGCAG